GAGCUCUUUCGUCCAUAUCUUCGACAAUUUGCAUUGGUUUUCUUUGACAACAUAUUAAUAUACAAUCGCUCAUGGCAAGAUCAUCAUCAUCAUCUUCGCCGGGUUUUGCAUCUCUUACAUACUCAUCAGCUUGUAGCUAACGCUAAAAAAAGCUCUAUGGGUCGUUUGCGAGUGGAGUACCUUGGCCAUGUAAUUUCUGCUGAUGAAGUUUCAAUGGACCCAAGCAAAGUGUCUAGUGUAUUGCAGUGGCCUAAACCCAAAUCAAUCAAAGCUAUGCGUGGAUUUUUAGGCCUCACGGGGUACUACUGACAAUUCAUUAAAGACUAUGGGAAGAUAGCCUAUCCACUUACACUGUUGCUUAAAAAGGAUAAUA
rnacentral:misc_RNA from 1 species